rnacentral:rRNA from 1 species
GGGGAGGUAGUGACGAAAAAUAACGAUACGGGACUCAUCCGAGGCCCCGUAAUCGGAAUGAGUACACUUUAAAUCCUUUAACGAGUAUCCAUUGGAGGGCAAGUCUGGUGCCAGCAGCCGCGGUAAUUCCAGCUCCAAUAGCGUAUAUUAAAGUUGUUGCGGUUAAAAAGCUCGUAGUCGGACUUGUGUCCCACGCUGCCGGUUCACCGCCCGUCGGUGUUUAACUGGCAUGCACGUGCGGACGUCCUGCCGGUGGCCCGAGCCGGCGCGGGUCUCGUACCCGUCGUCCGGGGAAGGCCUAUCAUACCCGUCGCGGUGCUCUUAACCGAGUGUCUCGAUGGGCCGGCACGUUUACUUUGAACAAAUUAGAGUGCUUAAAGCAGGCAGCAUCCGCCUGAAUACCGAGUGCAUGGAAUAAUGGAAUAGGACCUCGGUUCUAUUUUGUUGGUUUUCGGAAUCCCCGAGGUAAUGAUCAAUAGGGACAGACGGGGGCAUUCGUAUUGCGACGUUAGAGGUGAAAUUCUUGGAUCGUCGCAAGACGGACCGAAGCGAAAGCAUUUGCCAAGAAUGUUUUCUCUGAUCAAGAACGAAAGUUAGAGGUUCGAAGGCGAUCAGAUACCGCCCUAGUUCUAACCAUAAACGAUGCCAGCCAGCAAUCCGCCGAAGUUCCUCCGAUGACUCGGCGGGCGGCUUCCGGGAAACCAAAGCUUUUGGGUUCCGGGGGAAGUAUGGUUGCAAAGCUGAAACUUAAAGGAAUUGACGGAAGGGCACCACCAGGAGUGGAGCCUGCGGCUUAAUUUGACUCAACACGGGAAACCUCACCAGGCCCGGACACCGGGAGGAUUGACAGAUUGAGAGCUCUUUCUUGAUUCGGUGGGUGGUGGUGCAUGGCCGUUCUUAGUUGGUGGAGCGAUUUGUCUGGUUAAUUCCGAUAACGAACGAGACUCUAGCCUGC